ensembl:lncRNA MIR29B2CHG MIR29B2 and MIR29C host gene
GCUACAUGCUCAUUCUUGUGGAUCCCUUGUUCUGGGGGAAGCCAUCUAUCAUGUCAUGGUAGGCUACAGGGAGUUCCAUGUGGGGAAGAACUGAAACCUCCUCCCAACAGCCAUGUGAGGAAGCUUGGAAAACCUUAGAAGAGUAUCCUUUAAAAAAAAGUUUUAAAUUAAACACAAAUAAAUACAUAAACAGUACAACUGCAAUCUCAUGAGACAUCCCAAGCGAGACAACUCAGCAACAGAUAACGAACACAGACAAACCUCAAAGGUGAGUUAGAAGGGAAUAUGUCGAGACAGGAGAACCAUGAGCCUGGGAUCUUGAGAAUAUGUCAUGGAAGACAGCCUGGAAUACGGUGGCUAAUACUACUGAAUGGCAGAGGAUUGGAAUUUUCAACAAAGAGUGAUAUUCUUGAAUCCCUUAUGAUUGUGGUGACCCAGCCCGCUUCCUAGCUGGGAUGCUCCUUCAUCUGGUUCUGCCUAACUCACCCCUCAGCCCCCACUGCCUUGGGGCUCACAAUCUACUUAAAAAUUUCGAUAUAGUCACUCAUUUAUUCUACAAACAUUUACCAAAGUCCUUUGAUGUGUCAGCUCUAAGCACUCAAGAUGGAGUGGCAGUAGGAUCCCAACACUUAUAUCUGUCCAGAAUUGGUCAUCAGCUGGCUUGAGUUCUCCCAUUCUGCCUGUGCCUUCCCUUAGCAAGGGAAAGAACAAGAUGGAAGAGAAGGAAAAGGCUUGAUUGAACCAGCCAAUAGAUAAUUAGAAGCUGACUAUUUUGCAAUAAUGCAGCACAACAGCAAUAAAUAAAUCAAUCACUUGGGGGGUGGGGAAUGACUUCCCUAUAAUCAGCUAUUAAAGACUUGUACCACUAAUUAGUCUAUUAA